ACAAGAUGUUAAGAGCGUACGGUGGAUGCCUUGGCACAGGAAGCCGAUGAAGGACGUGACAAGCUGCGAUAAGCCACGGUGAGGCGCACAUAGCCUUCGACCCGUGGAUCUCCCAAUGGGCAAACCCGACAGACGUGAUGGUCUGUCACCCUUGCUUUGAACCCAUAGAGGCAAGGGGGAUAACCCGCUGAACUGAAACAUCUAAGUAGGCGGAGGAAGAGAAAUCAACAGAGAUUCCCCUAGUAGUGGCGAGCGAACGGGGAAGAGGCCAAACCGACGUGCGUCUAUGCCCGGCAGGGUUCGCGCCGUCGGUGUUGUAGGGCCACACGUACAGGAUCUGCCGGUCCUGUGCGCAGUAAGAAACCGGAGCGGUAGUCGAAAGGUCUGGGAAGGCCUGCGAAACAGGGUUAGAGCCCCGUAGACAAAACCGAUCCGGCUGCGCGUUGUGGUACCUGAGUACUGCCGGACACGUGAAACCCGGUGGGAAUCUGGGGGGACCACCCUCCAAGCCUAAAUACUCUCCUGUGACCGAUAGCGAACCAGUACCGUGAGGGAAAGGUGAAAAGCACCCCGGGAGGGGAGUGAAAUAGUACCUGAAACCGUGCGCUUACAAGCAGUCGGAGCACCUUUUUUAGGUGUGACGGCGUGCCUUUUGUAGAAUGAGCCAGCGAGUUGCGGUAUGUGGCGAGGUUAAGCUCGAGAAGCGAGCCGUAGCGAAAGCGAGUCCGAAGUGGGCGUAUAAGUCGCAUGCCGCAGACGCGAAGCCGGGUGAGCUAUCCAUGGGCAGGCUGAAGCGGGGGUAAGACCCCGUGGAGGGCCGAACCCACUUAGGUUGAAAACUGAGGGGAUGACCUGUGGAUAGGGGUGAAAGGCCAAUCAAACCCGGAGAUAUCUCGUUCUCCCCGAAAUAGCUUUAGGGCUAGCCUCGGUUGCUUACCGUCGCAGGUAGAGCACCGGAUGGGCGCGGGGGCCUCACCGCCUACCAACCCCAACCGAACUCCGAAUGGCGACGGUCUUGAGACCGGGAGUCAGAACGUGUGGGCUAAGCCGCGCGUUCGAAAGGGAAACAGCCCAGACCGCCCGCUAAGGCCCCCAAGUUCGUGUUAAGUGGCAAAGGAUGUGCGUUUGCCUAGACAACCAGGAUGUUGGCUUAGAAGCAGCCAUUCAUUUAAAGAGUGCGUAACAGCUCACUGGUCGAGUGGACAUGCGCCGACAAUAUACGGGGCUAAGCACGACGCCGAAGCGGCGGAACGAUCCUUCUUGAGGACCGUUGGUAGGGGAGCUUUCCUUGGGCAGCGAAGCUGAAGGGCAACCUUUGGUGGAGCCUUAAGGAAGUGAGAAUGCUGGCAUGAGUAACGAGAGCGGCGAGAGUAACGCCGCCGCCGUAAACCCAAGGUUUCCUGGGCGAGGCUAAUCCUCCCAGGGUCAGUCGGGAGCUAAGGCGAGGCCGGAAGGCGUAGCCGAUGCACAGCAGGCAGAUAUUCCUGCACCUCCCGCAGGCGCUUGAGCGAUGGGGUGACGGAGAAGGGUAGCUCGACGGGGUUCUGGACGUCCCCGCGAUGUCGCGUAGCCUGAGGGGCAGUAAAAUGCGCCCCUCGCAAAAGGGUGAGGCGACGGACGAAGCGCUUUAGCGAAGCGAGUGAGCCCAUGCUUCCUAGAAAAGCCUCUAGCGAGUCUGCGGGUGCCCGUACCGCAAACCGACACAGGUGGGUGGGUAGAACAUACCAAGGCGAUCGGGUCAACCAUGGUUAAGGAACUCGGCAAAAUGGCCCCGUAACUUCGGGAGAAGGGGCGGUGGCGCGGGUGAUAAGGUCUUCCCUUUGAGCCUGAGCCACUCACAGUAAAGAGGCCCAAACGACUGUUUACCAAAAACACAGGACUCUGCUGAAGUCGUAAGACGACGUAUAGGGUCUGACGCCUGCCCGGUGCCGGAAGGUCACGUGGAGUUGUCAGUCGCAAGACGAAGCAGCGAAACCAAGCCCCGGUAAACGGCGGCCGUAACUAUAACGGUCCUAAGGUAGCGAAAUUCCUUGUCGGGUAAGUUCCGACCUGCACGAAAGGCGUAACGAUUUGGGCGCUGUCUCAACCAUGGACCCGGUGAAAUUGCACUAGUCGUGAAGAUGCGACUUACCCGCGGAAGGACGGAAAGACCCCGUGAACCUUUACUGCAGCUAGACAUUGGCUGCCGGUCCGACGUGUAGAGGAUAGGUGGGAGACUGAGAACCGCUGGCGCCAGCCGGCGGGGAGUCGCCCUUGGAAUACCACCCUCGUCGCUCUGGCAUCCUAACCUGCGACCGUUAUCCGGCGCAGGGACCGUGUCUGGUGGGUAGUUUGACUGGGGCGGUCGCCUCCUAAAGAGUAACGGAGGCGCGCAAAGGUCUGCUCGGGACGGUCGGCAACCGUCCUUUUGAGUGCAAGAGCAUAAGCAGGCUUCACUGCGAGACCAACAAGUCGAGCAGGUGGGAAACCAGGCUCUAGUGAUCCGGCGGCCCAGAGUGGAAUGGCCGUCGCUCAACGGAUAAAAGGUACUCCGGGGAUAACAGGCUGAUCUUCCCCAAGAGUCCACAUCGACGGGAAGGUUUGGCACCUCGAUGUCGGCUCAUCGCAUCCUGGGGCUGGAGCAGGUCCCAAGGGUAUGGCUGUUCGCCAUUUAAAGCGGUACGCGAGCUGGGUUCAGAACGUCGUGAGACAGUUCGGUCCCUAUCCUCCGUGGGCGUAAGAGAGUUGAGGGAGGCUGCCCCUAGUACGAGAGGACCGGGGUGGACGGACCUCCGGUGAACGGGUUGUCAACCAAUGGCACUGCCCGGUAGCUGAGUCCGGUUGGGAUAACCGCUGAAAGCAUCUAAGCGGGAAGCCCGUCCCAAGAUGAGCUCUCUUUUCGGUAAGGCCCCUUGUAGACUACGAGGUUGAUAGGCCGCAGAUGUAAGGCGUGUGAGCGCCUCAGUCGAGCGGUACUAAUAGGCCGAGCUCUUGUAUUU
rnacentral:rRNA from 1 species